rnacentral:rRNA from 1 species
UACAGAGGGGGCAAGCGUUAUUCGGAAUUAUUGGGCGUAAAGGGCGCGUAGGCGGCUUGGCAAGUGGAAGGUGAAAUCCCUCGGCUUAACCGAGGAACUGCCCUCCAAACUGCUUGGCUUGAGACCGGGAGAGGUGAGUGGAAUUCCCAGUGUAGCGGUGAAAUGCGUAGAUAUUGGGAGGAACACCAGUGGCGAAGGCGGUUCUCUGGGACGGUACUGACGCUGAGACGCGAAAGCGUGGGGAGCGAACAGG